UACGUAGGUGGCAAGCGUUGUCCGGAUUUACUGGGCGUAAAGAGCGCGCAGGCGGUCGUUCAAGUCGCGUGUGAAAGCCCCCGGCUCAACUGGGGAGGGUCACGCGAUACUGAUCGACUCGAAGGCAGGAGAGGGUAGUGGAAUUCCCGGUGUAGUGGUGAAAUGCGUAGAUAUCGGGAGGAACACCAGAGGCGAAGGCGGCCUACUGGGCUGCACCUGACGCUGAACCGCAAAAGCCAGGGGAGCGAACGGG
rnacentral:rRNA from 1 species